UACGUAGGGGGCUAGCGUUGUCCGGAAUCAUUGGGCGUAAAGAGCGUGUAGGCGGCCCGGUAAGUCCGCUGUGAAAGUCGGGGGCUCAACCCUCGGAUGCCGGUGGAUACUGUCGGGCUCGAGUACGGAAGAGGCGAGUGGAAUUCCUGGUGUAGCGGUGAAAUGCGCAGAUAUCAGGAAGAACACCCGUGGCUAAGGCGGCUCUCUAGUACGGUACUGACGCUGAGACGCGAAAGCGUGGGGAGCGAACAGG
rnacentral:rRNA from 1 species